AUGUCCUUUCAUUCCUAUACUUCAGCUUUCCCUCGAGGAUUUGAACAUCGUGGUGUUAAGAAGGCAGAUCGCAUUCCAUUGACAGACACCGUCAAGUUGGCCAUUGCUAGAACUCUCAAAGAGAGCAAUGGUCAACUGUCAUGCGGAGUAUCAUCAUUGCGACAGAAUUUUCAAGCUGAAGAAAUUCCAUUAUGGGCAUGCAAUCACGAAACUCCUGCCAGAACCAUGUUGAUUUGGCAUGUUGCAACUGAGUAUUGUGUCAUCGCACAGUGUAAGACUGCAGAGCUAGAAACUUUGGUACUCAACCAUCAUACUGUUGCCCAACAAAUAUCAAGUUAUUGCGCAUAUUUGAUGGCGUUUGUGCCAGAACUGCUCCCGGAUCAUCCUUUGGAGACCACAAGAUUGUUUCAUGAAGUGAGGAACGAGGCGCUAAACUUGUUGCGCAAAGACAGGACGCCGUUUGAGAAACACGCAAAGAUGAAAACCUAUCACCGGCAACAUGAGACGACCUUUGCGUUGGGGAUCUGGUUAGGGAAGAAGCUUGAAGAAAUGAGAGAUGACAGUCGGUGGAAGAUACUGGCAGAUCUCUGGACUGAAAUGAUAUUGUACAUAGCUCCAUCGGACAAUGCAAAGGAUCAUAUACAGCAUCUGGCAAAUGGAGGUGAGUUACUAACACACCUGUGGGCGUUGCUCUCCCACGCUGGCAUUCUAGAGAGGGAUCAACAGAUCCAUGGCCCUGACUGA
rnacentral:rRNA from 1 species